CUUAAUUAUAAAAUUUAAUAUUUUAUACUUUUGAUAUUUGUUUAAAAGAAAAACGUAUAAACUAAGUUUCAUUUGUUCAGUGUAAUUUUUAAUUCAGGUUUAUAUUUUCUUUUGAUUAUAGGAGAAGAUAUAUUAAAAUGUGUUUCUUGUAAAACUACAACAGGAUUAGAGCAUGUUUAUCCGUGUGAUCACUUUUAUUGUAGCGCCUGUAGAAGUGCGACUUGGAACUGUUCGACUUGUAAACGAGCUGUCAUAUUUAGUAAUAUUAUUCAUAAUAUUAAAUAUGAGAACUAAAUUCACCAACAACAUUUAUAAUUUAUUUUGUAAAUUUAAAUCUAACAAUAUGCUUUAAUACUUUUUUAAUAGCUUUAAGAAUAACACACUUGAUCUAUCGCAUAUAUUUAGUGUAGUUUAUUGUGUUUCUUAUGUGUUAUUAUAACAAUGGAUAUCGCCAUUAUAAUCCUUGAAGGAGGAUUCAUGGACGUUAUACACUGUAAUAUAUUUCAAAUUAUCAUGUAACUGUUUAGUUAAAAGGUACUUUUCUUUUUUUUUAAACUCAUUCUUUCUAUAGAAUUUCUAUAGAUUCUUUUGAAAUAUUGUCUAACAUUGAAAAAUAAUAUAAAGAAUCAACAAUAAUAUUCUCCGUGACUGAAUGUAGAGUGAGCUUAAUUUUCACAAACUAUUCGUAGUAAUAAUAUUAAUCAUAUUUUAUUUAUCAAACAUACAAUCUAAUAAACUAUACUAUAUAAUCGCAAGCUACACAUCUAAAUAAUAGAUUUAAUGACAUACAUAAUGUAUAGUUCAAUGUUUGAUCAUUAAUUUUACUUUCUUCUAAAAUUAAAAAGCUUACUAGUAAAGAUAAAAAUGUUAGUAUUUUAGUGGUUCAUAAUAAUAAAUAUUCAGUGUAACUUAAAUUCAAGUUUAUAUUUUAUUUUGAUAUAGGAAACAAAUUAAAGUGUAUAAUAUGUAGUCUGGAGUCCAAUCUAGUCUUGAAGUCCAGUAAUGUAUUUUGUCAGAAUUGUAAAAACAUAGGUAAAACACAUUAUAUAUGGUAUUUAGUAAGUAAGGAAGUGUGUUUUUAUUUUUCUCAUUGUUCUUAACAAUUAUUCGGUUUCUUUAGUGAGCAGCCUAUAUAUUUUAAAAUUAUAUUAGUUAAAAUAAAACAUAAUAUUAAUAAACUUGCAUUCGUAUUGAUAUUGUAGGUAAAUAAUAAAUUUAUGUAUAUACUUAUAUUAUAAGGGUAUUCAACGAUAUCGUUUCAAAUUUUUGGACAUUUGAUUGUGAUAUCGAAAUAUAUCAAUACCGUGAUAAUAAGAUUAUUGAACAUUUUCGUCAGUUAGUUAAUAAUUAUGUUAGUACCACAUUAUAGGAAUGUCUAAUUAUUGGAAUGAUACGCAUGUCGCAAAAUGUCAAUAAAAAAAUUAAAUUAAACAUAAAAUUCUAUUUUAAUAAACCCAUUUAAAUUAAUAUCGAAAAUACCGCGAUAUUUCAAAACAAUAUCAAAAUAAAAUUUUGCAAAAAAAAAAACGACAUCAUAUCAAUAUUUUAUAGUC